rnacentral:tRNA from 1 species
UCCUCGGUAGUAUAGUGGUUAGUAUUCCCGCCUGUCACACGGGCGACCGGGGAUCGAUUCCCCGCCAGAGAG